UUUUAAGGUACAUCUGAUAUCAGAGGAUGGAAGAGAAGAGAUGCCCCUUGACAGCAGGCAAAACCACUGUGAUCUGGGAGCAUUUCUGGGAAAUGGCUGCUGUGUGUUUGUGUGGUCUCCUCUAGGCACCUGCUGUUGCCUGCUGCUGGAGGCAGAGCCCUGGGCUGCACCUAGCAAGGAGGGGUGUAGGGUUAAACUUUGACUCUACCUCACGCUGGUGGUGCGAGUCCCUUCUGCCGUUCCUGACAGGGUUUACUAUCUGCUUUUCUAAUCCAAAGGGUCUACACUUCCCAAGCCAGAUGCUGCACAUGGGCCUAAGUAUUUUUAUAUCAGCUGGCUUCAAUCAAACAAGACAUUUAUAAAAAAAGGAAUCAGUUGCAUACGGAAGAUAUAAUUUUCCCAGCACUCCGUAGAAGGUGCAAGAAGCAACAUGGUUUGGAAGAAAAAAUAGGGACAGCUUCAACGUAGACCCUGGUCCACUCUUCAGCUCUUGCUGGAAGGUGUAGACAAAUGCCAGACAAGGACCCCUUUCUGGUGAAUCUCCCGAAGUGCUGUGCAUUCUUCAGCUGUGGCAGGAAAUAUGGCAAGCCUUUUCUUCUCCGACCAAGAAGAGCAAGUGACCUCAACCUUAGGAGCCCUUGCUGGCACAGCAAAUCCAGGCUGUCGUUCCAGACAACGUCCUGAUCUUGCAGGAAGUCAAGCUGUACUUCAUCAUUUCCCUUUGCUGUGGUUUGGCCUCGGACGGCAACAAAGGACCAGGGGGCAGCCGCCAGCCGUGCUCUCGCUCUCGGGCCGGGCUGGUGGGUUGAGACAAAGGCAGUUUCCCAGAACAGCAAAGGGAACAAGGAAAGAACAACAGGAACACUGAGGGAGGAACAUAUAACUGCGAUUGUGAUACCACUGCCCGCCAACCAGACCCGGGACCUCCCAGUCUGCGACCUCCCUCCCCCGGCAGCUCCCGCUCCGGUACCCCUGAGUAUGGCUCCCAUGGGAUGGGAGACCUGUGUCCCUGCUGGAGCCUGGGGAGAGUGAACCCUAUCCCCGCUGGAACCAGGACACCCUUGGAAAUGAUGGCAGCUCCAUUUUGGGGUCUGCCAGACUAGAUUAGCUUUAAAACAAUGUAAGAAAUACUUCUACGCGGUGGGCUGUGGGAUCUGGCAGGUGUCUUAAAAUGUCACUUCUACAAACCCUUGAUACAACUCCAUAACGCCUGGUGGGACUGUGUAUUUAGUUACCACAUUUCUGUAAACAGGUCCUGUUUGUGUUUGACUUUUAUCUGAUCAAUAAACCAGAGCUUAGCAGCACCUCCCCACUGCUUUUCAGCUGUGUGGUGAGGAAGGAAGUCUCUUGCCCAGGUCUUCAGCUGAAGACAGUUUGAGAAAGACUUAAGAUGGAGGUGGUUUUUCUCCCAUCAAGAUUCCCCAGCAUUUCCUGGGAUCUUCCCCAUUGAGAUCUGGAAAGCAUUCCACUUCUUCAGCCCUCUGCAUUUUGCAUCCAUAGAGUUCCUUAUCCUGGGGUAAAACUUGAAAACAGCCACUAGGCACGCAAACUCAGCAACCUGAUCCCAAAUGCCUUCCUGUUCCCUAAUCAUUUAGGACAGCACUUCUCCCCUCCUCGAUGUCUCCCUCUCGGACGCCCCUAGUCCCCUAGCAAGCACUUCCCGCCUUUUUGCCUGCCCU